UCAACCCGUGACCUCCUGAAUCUCGUGAACCCCAAAUUUAGGAAACAAUAACCCCAAAUUUGUUCCCAAUCAGUAUAGAGAGAGGGAUUAGUAACCCAGAAUUCUUUCCGGCUUCCUACAUAUUGAAAUCCCUAAAUUUGGAUUUAGGGUUUUAAAUUAAAUGGAUGAAAUCGAUAUAUAUUCAUCAGAUCGUGGCUUUCAUUCAAACUUUUAUUAUAUCCACUAUCAAUUUCAAGAGAUCUGAUCCUUUCAUCGAGGUUCAAAGUCUAUAUCCGUGUCGUGAAUGAUAGUGGGUUGACACCGUUCAUAUUAUUUGACAACCAUGUCAUAACACUAAUUUGAAUGAGUGCACAUGAUCUUAGGAAAGGAUAAAUAGAAGAUCCUGGUAUAAUCCCUGAUGAGCUCAACGAAAUUGUGGGUAGAUCUUUCCUGUUCAAGUUCCUGAUUGAAACUUAUAAUAGGGACGGAAAUUUUCAUUACUAUACUGUCGUCGCAUUCACCGAUGAUACUUAGACUAUUGUGGCUUUCAAUAAGGCCUUUAAUGUCGACACAAUAUAAGCAUUCUGCCAACAUGAUAUUGUUAUAAAUAGUGUUCCAUUAUUUAUUUUUUAGUAUUCUAUUGCUGAGUUAUGGUCUAUCCUGUAGCCGACACAUAUACACUUCCCCAGAAUUCUAACUACAUUGGAGUUGGACGCAGCUCUGUCAAGGUUUACUCUCCAUGUAUUUAUAUAUUCUAAAUGUUAUCCUGUAGUUAUACGUGUAUCAAUAAAAAAAUUAGUUCAGGUCUAUACCUCAAGCUCAUAUGCAGAUGUUUACUUACGGAUGUUUUAACUACUUUGGUUUUAGAAUGGAAACCUCCUAUGAGGAUACCAAAUGCCUAACGAGUAUAAAACCUUGGUCAUCGUGAUUGGCUUGAUUUUCAUCCAUGCUAUACUUUGAUGGUGUUCUCCAUUGUAAUUUUUUUUAAGAGUAUAACCCGAUGGAACCUUAAAUCUCUAUAUAAAGUUAUUCAUAUUUUGUUUAAUCCAUACAUCUAUAGGUUCCCGUUCUGUCAGUCACCUCCAGUCACUUAAGAGAUGUCACGAAUUCAUUUUCUCAAACAAAUCUAUAUGUGUCGUCCAUAAACAAUCUCAAACUCCGAAUUAUGGAGACCAUACAUUUCAGACAAGAAGAUUGGCGUACAUCAAUUCUGGAUAUCACAGAUUAAGCCAUCGGUAAUAGUUAUGAAAAAUCCUACCCUUUAAUGACUCCAUCAUCUACAUUCGACAAAGGCAAAGCCGCAAAGGCAUAGCUAUUGAUAUCACAGGUUGCGUUUAGAAAUCCUCACAUCGGUAUGUUUACUCCUUUAGUAACCGACUAUUAUACUUACUGAUAUUUUUUUUUAUUACGUUACCUUUCGUUAUAUGAUCAAUCGAAUAUUAGUCAUGCUUAAAAUAUAGUAUUAUCCUGUUAUGUCGUUCCUGUAUAGGUUCCCGAAGUGACAGUCACCUAAAACCUCUUACAGAUGUCACAAAUAUGUCAUAUGAAGCAAAUGUAACAGUAUUGCGCACACACAAUACUCAAACUCCGGUACCUACAGACCAUACGUUACAAUCAAGGAUAAGUAUCGUGCAUCUUUAAGGGAUAAAUCUUCAAAUGAGAAUAUGACUUCUAAAACUAGUGGUACGAAACCCAUUAAUAUUUAUGCUAAAUUGUACCCUACGAUUGCUCCAGACUCAAGAUUAGACAAACGAAAACGUAACUGGUAUAAUGCCACAAAUUCUCACUCCGGGCUUACACAUUUGUCUCAUAAUUUUUCCGAAGUUGAUCAGAAAGGGUUGUAGUGUCACCAUUCCCAUAUGGAUCAACUUAGUAUGACCAAACACAGCCGGUUACGACGAUUUCAUCUGCAAAGGUAGCAAAGGAAAAACAAAAACCAAAUCUUUGCUAGCCCCCGAAGGGAACUCCAUAUGUUACGUGUGUGACUUCCGUUUUAAUGUUAAAUUCUUUUUACUAUUAAAUCAUAUAAUAACUCUAUUAUAACAUUAUUUGUUAGGAUUUUAUAUCCAUUGUGGGUGAUACUUUAAGCACUGUGGAAAGUCUUCAUAGUAAUCGCCCCCAAGUGAAAUUGAAGAUGAUCCUGAAUCUAUAAGUGUUUGCUGAACAAGUUGUAAAGGCGAUUACUUCGUAUCGAUAUAGAUGACGAGUAGUAUGAAGGGACGAGGAGUAGUAACUUGUGUUGGAGUAGUUGGUUAAUUGAAUCAUGCUUUUGUUUUCCAUUUAGAUUUGGAUUUUUUUCGACCUCGAUUUUGAUGUCAUGUUUUGACAUCCGAUAUUUUGUUGAUGUUAAUGUUUUUGACAAUCGUUUUAUGUGGGUGGAAUAAAUAUGUUUGUUUUUGUUCCA